UUCACAGUCGAUAAACUUUUUGCUAAGGUAAAUUGCAUGCUCUUUUCGACAAGACUCGUCAUGCUGACCCAAUACACCUCGUAGACCCCUCGAAGGCCGUCAAGUACAGAUUUAACAGUUGCUCCUUCCACAGGAAGUAUCAGAAUCAGAGGUUCCUGCAACUUUUCCUUUUAUUUUUUCAACGCCCCUUGGCAAUCAUUAUUUCGCCUGACCGUUUGAUCUUUCUAUCAAUAUCUGAAUAUGAGUUCACCCGUGGCGGUUAGAUGAGAUGUGAACCAUGACAGGUAGUUCAAUCUUUCUAAGAAACCACGAACCUCUUUCUUUAUUCUCGGUUCAGGCAUUUGUUUUUUUUUUCUUUUUUUUUUUUUUUUUUU
rnacentral:lncRNA from 1 species